rnacentral:rRNA from 1 species
GUGGGGAAUAUUGCACAAUGGGCGAAAGCCUGAUGCAGCCAUGCCGCGUGUGUGAAGAAGGCCUUCGGGUUGUAAAGCACUUUAGGCGAGGAGGAAAAGCGUACGGUUAAUAACCGUGCGCCGUGACGUUACUCGCAGAAUAAGCACCGGCUAACUCCGUGCCAGCAGCCGCGGUAAUACGGAGGGUGCAAGCGUUAAUCGGAAUUACUGGGCGUAAAGCGCGCGUAGGCGGUUUGAUAAGCGGAGUGUGAAAUCCCCGGGCUUAACCUGGGAACUGCAUUCCGAACUGUCAAGCUAGAGUAUGAGAGAGGGUGGCGGAAUUCCGAGUGUAGCGGUGAAAUGCGUAGAUAUUCGGAGGAACACCAGUGGCGAAGGCGGCCACCUGGAUCAAUACUGACGCUGAGGCGCGAAAGCGUGGGUAGCAAACAGGAUUAGAUACCCCUGUAGUCC